UCCUGGUGGCUCAGAUGGUAAAGAAUCUGUCUCCAGUGCAGAAGACCCAGGUUCAAUUCCUGGGUCAGGAA
rnacentral:tRNA from 1 species